rnacentral:lncRNA from 1 species
GGAGGAGCCGGCCGGCGAGGCCGCGGCGGCGGCGGCCCUCGUGCCCGGGAGCGCCGAGGUGAAACCGUGCGCCGCGCCCGAGCGGGUCGUGGACCCCAGCGACAUCAGCCCCAGCGCCCUGCACGCCGCCGUGAGGGACUCCCAGCUGAACAUCGUCCAGGUGGAGGACGACGUCCCCGGGCUGGGCGCCUCCUGCCUCUACCUGGUCCCCUCCGCGCCGGGGGAGGGGGAGCAGGAGGAGGUGGGGGCCCCUCUCCGCGGUCGGGAGGCCGGGGCGGGGCCGGCCGAGGCCGAGGAGCCCGGGAAGAGAGAGCCCAAGGAAAACGGGCUCGUGCGGAUUUACACGGGCGUGUGCGAGCAGCUCAUGGCCCUGAACGAGGGGGACGGGAAUCUGGACCCCGGCCGGCACGCUCAGCGGGAAGCCGGACGGAACCCGCGCUGCCCGCCGGCCUGCGCCCCCGCUGAAUCGCUGUCCUGUCGGAGCGCUCGGCCUGGACGCAGCGCGGCAGAGCUCGGGCCCGGCGCGGAUCUCGCCGCGGGGGAGAGCAUCGCGCCUGUCAAGCGAGCCCGGGAGGAGGCCCUCGCCCGCAGCGCGCAGGGGCCGGGCCCCGUCAUCAAGAGGGUCUUCGACCAGGAGUGGUGCAGCUCCCUGUGGAGCUCCGCCGAGCCGGCCUGCGAGAGCAGCAGGGUCCCCCGACCGGACCGCCGGGACGCUGCCCACGCCGGGGCAGGGGUCUCCGAGCUGCGGGGGGCCGCGGUGAAGCAGGAGGUCGAUGAGCGGAGGGGGUUUCCCACGGCGGCGCCGGGCUCCCACCUGAGCUUGGUCCAGGUUAAAGACGAGCGCCCUGACCUGGGCACUGCCCCUCUUUACUCUGCCCGUGCCCACCCUGCGCCAGGAGAGCGCCGGUCUCUCCGUGUGAUGGAGGAUGUGUCCGGGCUGGCAGGGGGGCCCAUCAAGAGGGAGGCGGUUGAGGAGGAGCUGGUGCAGGUGUGUAUGAACGCGGAGGACAGCAGGCCGGAUUCCAGGCCUCAAGCGGAAAGGACGCCCCAGUGCGCGAGGAUGCCCGCCAGCGACCGCAGGACCCCCGGAGGCGCCCGUGUGGCCUUCGAGCGGGCGUCUGAGUCGGUGCCCGCCCAGAUCAAGCCCUUCCUGCGCAGGGUGAGGUACACGGUGUACCACGGGCCCGGGGCGGAGACCGGGUGCAAGGAGGAGCUGGACAGGGAGGAGGGACAGGGGGAGCCCACCGUCGUCGUCGUGUUGCAAACAGGCGCCCAGGCACCUUGCAGAACGGGGUCCGGCAGCUGGCCUGUCCGUCAGAUGAGAACCCCCAGAAUGAGACCGUUGGCGCCCCUGAACACACCCCAGGUCAUUUUUUCUGCUUUUUCAGCCUUUCUGCUGGUUAUAGUCUAGUGCAGCGGUUCUCAAACUUUUUGGACCAAGUGCCACCCCUGAUCAAACCAAGUGCCACCUCCAGGUCAUCUUCUCAUAGGAACCCCAGAAAAUCUCAAUGACCAAACAUGACUCACGGACGCCUAUAAUACCAAAUUUCACCGAGCACUUAGUUCAUUUGGAUUGGAACAGCCUGUAGCUUUUUUCUGACGCUUUCUAACACUAGCAGUGCUGUCUGUGUCAGGCUCAGUGUCGGAGCUAGUGUCGGCGGUCGUCGGGAUUAACAUACACACAUUUCCUACCCUCAAACACAGUGCCAAAGCGAAAGUGUAAAUUCACAGCGGAACUAAAAAAAUCAGUUUCCGUGUUUUUCGAAGUGGCAGAGCAGACUGGGAAGCUGAGUGUUUGAUGUGCAAGCCUGCUACGUUUGUCUCCGUGGCAGAUAAAGGAGUAGUUGACUUGCAAGCUCUUGUUGACUCGGACAAACACAAAAAGGCCAUUCGGGGAGAGGAGUUCGUCAACCAAAUGAACAGAUUCUUUUGUCAAAUCUGGCAGCAAAAGAGUGGAUGCUGUUAUUGCAGCAGAGCGGGCUUAUGCAUUUCACACAGUUAAAUCUCAUCACAGUUACUUUACCAAUGAACAUGAAACGUGGGGUAUUUUGAAAACCCUCUCCAUCCCCAUCCCCUUUCCCAGACAAGGCAACAGGACAGUUCCUCAGGGUGUCCUCUUGUCUUGAUGUGGCCGAUGUAUAAUCCUGCUGGUGCUCAGCGGGUGUGCGUGAUCUGUCUGAGCCGGCGUCCGUACUCUUGGCGUCUGUUCCUUUCAGCCAGGACAUAGUACUUGAUUUUUGCGAGGUGUUCAAUUUCGAUCACUUGUUCAGUGGCGAGCGUGGCGCUCAGCUGCGUCUCUGGAAGCUCGAGAGGAGUCUGCACACUCGAGUAUUAGCGCGCGCUGUAUCGACGUAGCACAGUACGUGCGCUGCGUAUUUGACACACAAACGCAUUUUUGCCCCCGUCUCAAGCUUUCUGAAACCGAUUAAGUCAAUUCCUGAUGAAAACUUGAAAUCAUUUCAGCCAAUUUUUAAUUUAAAAAAAAAAUUUUUUCAGUGCACACAACAAAUUUCCAGAGUCGUCUGGCGUACCACCUGGGGGGUGCUCCGUGUACCACAGUUUGAGAACCACUGGUCCAGUGCUCACAACCCAGUUCUCUCACCCCCUCCCUGUGGCAGACAUUCCAGUUCCGUCACAGGAUGAACCGAGGGGCUGUGGUCCGUCUGUCCCGGGACCCUGCAGCUCCUGAGGGGGCCUCUGGCCCCGGGACCCUGCAGCUCCUGAGGGG